UUAAUGUUGCAUCAAAGUCGUAUGUAGUAUGCCAAUUUAGCUCUCCAAACUUAACAGCAAUAUUUCCUCUCUCUGAGGAGACGUUAGUUGAAAUUUACACACAUGUAAUCUGCCUAUAGCAACGUUAUUCUUAAUUGGGAUGCUGAUAAUUGAGGGGAAACUGAACUGGUUCACAGAGGAUUCGCCCUCAUUGAGGGCUGUUACAAACCUUUUUUAUUAUUGUUUGAUAAGAGAGAAAAUUAAUAUUUUUUAUAUUUCACAUUGUCAUAAGACCUUCCAACAUGUGCUUUAAGAGUCACGUUUACGAUGAACUUUUUUUAAAUAAACCAUCGGUCCAAUUUCCUGUUAACAAGCAGAGCUUUUUCCUUCCCUUU